rnacentral:lncRNA from 1 species
AAUGAAGUAAAAUGAUAACCAGAAAAGGAAUUUUCCCUUUUCACCUUUCAGACAAGUGAAAAUCCACAGAAUGGAGAUGGAAACCUAGGCUUACAUAAGGACUGAAAAGAACACCAUGCCCCCAAAUGAUAAAUCAUUGAUUACAUCCUCAUCUGAUGGCUGAAGGUCAGGAAUUGUACCCAUUUCCUUGCCUCAGGAAAAAUUGUUGACGUUUUCUUCUUUAUCAGUGCUAGAUCCUGGACAUUUCAAGCUGACAUCUUUUGAAUAACCAGGGCACAAGAAAGCAGGAAUUUUUCUAUAAGGAUCAGGUAGAGUCGAUUCUUCUACCUUAAUUGAGUUGUAAUUUAGAGGUUUCUGUUUUGCUUUGUUUUGUUUUCAUAAAGAACCCUUAAAAAUUAGCCCCCUAGGCAGAUAAUCUGAAGCAGUUGAAUUAUGGAACAAAGUACGAGUGGCUGUGGAGUCACAGGUAAUUUUUGUCUGUCAAUGAAGAAUAAAUUACUACCUGUGAACCCAAAUAUGUAUAAGCAGGAAGUCAAACAACCACUAGGGUAGUUUAGAUAUUGCUGAAACCGUUUAUCAAAUGUGGGGGUUUUUUGAAUCUUAUAAACUAAGCUACCAAAACACAGGGUGAUUCUGCAAUUUCUUCUCUGAGAUAAAUACAGCUGCUAUAGAAAGCAAAAUUGGAAGGAGAGACAAGAAGCUUUUUAUUCAUGGAAAAUUUGGAUUUUUGCAGUAAAUUUGAAAUGGAUACAAAGCCAUAUAUCUGUGCUGUGUCUUUUCUGAAAAAGAAAAAAAUAUGUAAAUGAAGGACAGAGCUUCUAAAACAAACCACUGUGCAUUGCAUGAAGAAAAUACUAUACUGGAUUUUCUACUGAACAUAAAGAAACCAGAAGUACUUUCCACAUUUCUAGUAAUCAGUGUUGACUACAAUAUGAAUAAAUAUGAAUGGCAGCCAAUCUUCUACCAACUCUUCAUACCAGAGUAUUACAAAGGGCAGAGGAAGGUAUAUGCUAUUGUCUUGGCAUUUUGGACACUACUAUCUGUGGAGUUAAAAACAAUAAAACAAC